UUGAGUCACAUCAUCUCUGUACAACCUUGGAGCUAGAAAGUUUGGCAUUAUAAGUGUGCCACCAGUCGGCUGCUGUCCAUCACAAAGAAUCUUUAAUUCUACUGGUGGUUGUUUAGAGAUUCAAAAUGAUUUUGCAAGAUCUUUCCAUUCUCAACUUUCAACCCUCAUGUCAAGAAUCAGCUCAGAGAUUCCUGCAAUAAAAUAUUCAAUCGGGAACACGUAUGAAAUGACCAUGAAUGUUAUAGAGAAUGCUCCUCUGUUCGGUUUAAAAGAUGUUGAAACUGCGUGCUGCGGAUCAGGCACACAAACUUGUACUCCAGAAGCAAGUUUUUGCUCAAAUCGCGACGAGUACUUAUUCUGGGAUUUGUACCACCCAACACAAGCUGCUUCUCUGCUGGCAGCUCAGACCUUAUAUAUCGGAGAAAAGAAAUUUGUAUCCCCGAUCAAUUUCUCUGAGUUGGCUGAGUGUUAACUUCAACUGGUUCUACAAAACAAGCCUUGAUUACUUUAUUAAGAGGACUCAAGUGUAGUCUAAUAAUGAACCACAUAUAGUAAAAUUGCAUGUGACCCUUUAUUAAGCCUGUAUGUUCGUACUUAUUUUUUAUGUUACCCAAUUGCAUCGCAGUAUGCAUUUUGUGGUCUUACAAAUAGUGUAUUCCAAUUUAUCAUGCAAGAACAAUAAAUUUCUGCAUUAUACAAUUUCAGAAGGACAAGUAUUGAACCUUAAA